GACGGAGGGUGCAAGCGUUGUUCGGAAUUACUGGGCGUAAAGGGCGCGUAGGUGGCCUUCUAAGUUGAACGUGAAAUCCCUGGGCUCAACCCAGGAACUGCGUCCAAGACUGGGAGGCUUGAAUCCGGGAGAGGGAUGCGGAAUUCCAGGUGUAGCGGUGAAAUGCGUAGAUAUCUGGAGGAACACCGGUGGCGAAGGCGGCAUCCUGGACCGGUAUUGACACUGAGGCGCGAAAGCCAGGGGAGCAAACGGG
rnacentral:rRNA from 1 species